CGAAAAUUAGUGGAUUCACAGUCAACAAUCGACAAUUCACGAUGAAUAAGCUUCUGAGUAUCUUCGUCAUCUUCGCCCUUAUCGCAAUGGCUCUUGCCCAGGGUGGCUCACCUAUGCCUGAGCCUAAGGGUAAACCUGAGCCUGAACCUAAGAUGUAAUCAUCUCUGUUACUAUCAUCUCUCGGGGAAUGCUGAAUUGAGAUGUCCACAUUGGAAAUUCCAUUUUUGAAAAUUGGCAUUAAUUGAAAAUAUCAUCAAAACUACAAUGAAAUAAAAAUUGGUACCUGAAAAUUACAAAAUUGGCUGUUGAUUCCGGUAAAUUUCUUCGCAAUAAAGAUUUUCCAUACAUUUUUGCUUUAUGAAGGAAUUAUUGUACUAGAUCGUUUAGACUCUGAAUACAUGAAUACAUGAGAAAUUCAAUAAUUUUCAUUUCGGUUGUGCAUUUAAAAUUGUUAACAAUUUGCGCAGCGGGGAUUUCGCUUUCUGAUUACCUAUAUUGUAUAAUUAUUUUUCGUGUAAUUUUUCCUUCGUGCACUAUGAGCCAUCCAUAAUCACCGAAUUAUGGACUCAUACAUUCAGCCAACAACAAUAUCAGGAUGCUCCCAGCUGUCGUGCCAUUAAAGCCUCUCGUACUGGGUCAUCGCGAUGCUACCUAAAUUUUCGUGACAUUCAUUUUUAUGCCCUCAUCGACCAUUUGGGGGCUCUUACGGCCACUCACCAUCAUUCAACCUUGCCAAUUUUGGAGUCCAACGUGCCCUCUUCGAUCAUCAUUAAAUUUUAAUCAAUACACUGUAUCGCAAAUUGGCGCAGGAAGAUAAUGACGUCAGAACUCCUUAUACUUUAUAGUUGACUCAAUACGAGGCGCCACUUCAUACCAUUCAUCACUUGUCGGAAACCCAAACCACUCAGGGCUUUGCGAAUCAGUUUUGUAAUUGGUAAAUUGUUGUCAUCUCAUUUCGUUUAAUAUUAAUUUUUCAUGCAGUUAGGAAAUGAAGGGGUUGGUGAACCAUUUUGAAACUACUCAUUCAUUUUAUCUAAUUGUUUCUUUGCCACUCUACAGUGGAACUUCCAUAACUGCUCACCUUCGUAAGUGCACACUGUCCAGUCGCACGCGGGGAAUCGUACCCCCACCACUACAAUUCCCCUUUAUGACCGUUCUCUCUCUAGCCUCUUUCGUUCUCUAUUCAAUGUGCGAAAACAGUGCGCAGUAGGCCGCCCUGUGGCUCUUUUCCCCACCAUUGCCUCUACACGCAUCUCUUUCUGACUCAGCGCUCUCGCUCUUUCGCUGGCGAAGAAGGGUCCUUUCGUAAGUGCAAAUUCCGAGAACCCGAACCCCGGGAGGCGUGCAGUUAUGGAAGUUCCACUCUGUUUUUAAUAUCUACGAGAAAAUUUCUCAAUUAUUGAUAUUAGUUUUUUGGCAUUAGUGUUCUGUAGUCAAUACUCGUGAUAUACACUUUUUGGAAAUAUUUUCUGAGUUACGUAGUUGCCUUUAAGAGCCAUCGAUGAAGAACAUGAAAAUAAAAAAUCAUGAAAUAUUCGUAUUAA